rnacentral:misc_RNA from 1 species
GACCGGGCGACAUCCAGCCGGUCACCAGGACCGUGUCGAAUUUCGCCGCGCUAAAGGGUUUGGUCUCGAUCGGGACGCCCGAUGAACUGGCGACCGGCCCGCCGCGCUCCGACAAAAGCUCGAUCUCAUAGGACGGCGAAUAUCCCACCAUGUUCGCCAGCUCGAACACCGAAAUCGCAGCCAGAUCAAGGAUUUGGAAGCCCGGAAAGAUCACGAGACCGAUGCGCUUCACGGCAGCUUGCCUCUCUCAACAUUGUCCUAAAACGAGGUAUCUAUGACAUUCAAGACAGACCCCUAAACUCCUAGG